UCAUAGGUUUUUAUAAAAACCCCCAAAACUCAGCAGAAGGAUUUGG
rfam:Pelecanus crispus contig18502, whole genome shotgun sequence.